rnacentral:rRNA from 1 species
CAAGUCGAACGUGAAAUGGGGCAACCCAAAGUAAAGUGGCGCACGGGUGAGUAACGCGUAGGUAAUCUACCCCUAUGUUCGGAAUAACCUGCCGAAAGGCGGGCUAAUACUGGAUAGAGCGAGGAACACGUAAGGUGUUUUUCGGGAAAGGGGGCUCUUCAAAGAGCUCUCGCAGAGGGAUGAGCCUGCGUCUCAUUAGCUAGUUGGUGGGGUAAUGGCCCACCAAGGCUGUGAUGAGUAGCUGGUCUAAGAGGAUGAUCAGCCACACUGGAACUGAAACACGGUCCAGACUCCUACGGGAGGCAGCAGUGGGGAAUCUUGCGCAAUGGACGAAAGUCUGACGCAGCCACGCCGCGUGAGUGAAGAAGGCCUUCGGGUCGUAAAGCUCUGUCGGGCGGGACGAAAAGGCUUUGCACUAAUACUGCAGAGCUCUGACGGUACCGCCAAAGGAAGCACCGGCUAACUUCGUGCCAGCAGCCGCGGUAAUACGAGGGGUGCAAGCGUUGCUCGGAAUUAUUGGGCGUAAAGGGUAGGUAGGUGGUCUUGUUUGUCUGUGGUGAAAUCCUUGGGCUUAACCCAAGAAGUGCCAUAGAAACGGCAAGACUCGAGUUCUGAGAGGGUCGUGGAAUUCCCGGUGUAGCGGUGAAAUGCGUAGAGAUCGGGAGGAACACCAGAGGCGAAGGCGGCGACCUGGACAGAUACUGACACUCAACUACGAAAGCGUGGGUAGCAAACAGGAUUAGAUACCCUGGUAGUCCACGCCGUAAACGAUCGGUACUAGGCUUAAGAGGUCUUGACCCCUUUUGAGCCGGAGCUAACGCGAUAAGUACCCCCCCCGGGGAAGUACGGUCCCAAGACUAAAACUCAAAG